GUAGGACUUUGUACCAGAGUUCCCUGCAGCAUCAAAAGUGAUGCCACCGUGAUGUCAGCCAGUCAGCCAUCACAGCGAUUGCACAACCAAAGUUUGCAAGAAAAACAGAGUGAUCCAUCCUAAAGUCCCCACAGCCCCGAACGUCUGAGGAAAAACUCAGCCAUGGAGCAGAAGACAAAUGAGAGUCCCACCAACACCUCUCCUCAGAAACACAUGAAAAACAGGUCUAAGUCCACAGAGGAGGUGCAGCAGUCAAAGAAGGUGAGCCUGCAGCAGCCUGACAUUCACCAUAGCACACUAUUUCUUCCCUCACCCUAUGAGUCAACCUUACUGUCUUACCUCACAGGCCUUUUCCUCACAAAAAUCACUUCCAGGCAGACCAGAGCUGGAGAGAGUGAAGGUGAGAUGUAUCACUGUUCUAACGUAUUGGCAUUAAAGCCUAAAGCUAUGUUUAAAACCAGAGUUUUAUUUUUAUUUGUUGCAGGAAUGUCCUGA
rnacentral:lncRNA from 1 species